CCCUUAGAUGUUCUGGGCUGCACGCGCGCUACACUGAUGCACUCAACGAGUUUACGACCUUGCCCGAUAGGGUUGGGUAAUCUUUUUAAAAUGCAUCGUGAUGGGGAUAGAUUAUUGCAAUUAUUCAUCUUCAACGAGGAUUGCCUUGUAAGCGCACGUCAUCAGCGUGCAUUGAAUACGACCCUGUAUUCUGUACACACCGCCCGUCGCUCCUACCGAUUGAAGUUUUCGGUGAAUUUACUGGAGAUCCCUUUUGAAGGUGGUUCGCCACUGGAAGAAGUAUUCAAAAGUAAAUGAAUCGAAUGCUUUAGAGGAAGGAGAAGUCGUAACA
rnacentral:rRNA from 1 species